AGCAGCCGCGGUAAUUCCAGCUCCAAUAGCGUAUAUUAAAGUUGUUGCAGUUAAAACGUCCGUAGUCGAACUUUGGUUUGGGCUUGUGCCUGGCGUCCUUCAUUGGGCGUUUGGGUUGCAUGCCUUGCCAUGUUGUAGGGGUGCAGUCUUUCGGGGCUGAUGAUCUCUGCGUAUUACCAUGAGCAAAUCAGAGUGCUCAAAGCAGGCUUUAUAGCUUGAAUGUUUUAGCAUGGAAUAAUGAAAUAAGCCUUAGGUCUUGUUUCGUUGGUUUACUUGACACUGGGGAAUGAUGAAUAGGAACGGUUGGGGGCAUUUGUAUUUGGCCGCUAGAGGUGAAAUUCUUGGAUUGGCCGAAGACAAACUACUGCGAAAGCAUUUGACCCAGGACGUUUUCAUUGAUCAGGGACUAAAGUUGAGGGAUCGAAGACGAUUAGAUACCGUCGUAGUCUUAACCAUAAACUAUGCCGACUAGGGAUCGGACGAUGUUAACUUUUCUUGACUCG
rnacentral:rRNA from 1 species